UACGUAGGGUGCAAGCGUUAAUCGGAAUUACUGGGCGUAAAGCGCGCGUAGGCGGCUUUGUAAGUUAGAGGUGAAAAGCCCGGAGCUCAACUCCGGAACUGCCUUUAAGACUGCAUCGCUAGAAUUGUGGAGAGGUGAGUGGAAUUCCGAGUGUAGAGGUGAAAUUCGUAGAUAUUCGGAAGAACACCAGUGGCGAAGGCGACUCACUGGACACAUAUUGACGCUGAGGUGCGAAAGCGUGGGGAGCAAACAGG
rnacentral:rRNA from 1 species